GCAAACUUGGUCAUUUAGAGGAAGUAAAAGUCGUAACAAGGUUUCCGUAGGUGAACCUGCGGAAGGAUCAUUAACGAGUUAGGGUCUCUCCAGGCCCGACCUCCCAACCCUUUGUCUACUUGACCACUGUUGCUUCGGCGAGCCCGUCCCUAUGGACCGCCGGAGGGUACCUUUAUCGGCCCUCUGGUCAGCGCUCGUCGACAGCCAAACUUUUUAAAAUCUUUAACUAAAUGUGUCUUAAUCUAAGUACUAUUUGUUAAAUUAAAGCAAAACUUUCAACAACGGAUCUCUUGGUUCUGGCAUCGAUGAAGAACGCAGC
rnacentral:misc_RNA from 1 species